CCUGGCUCAGAUUGAACGCUGGCGGUAUGCUUAAGACAUGCAAGUCGUGCGGUAGAAGGCUUCGGCCUUUGAGAGCGGCGGACGGGUGAGUAACACGUGGGAAUCUGCCUAUUAGUGGGGGACAGCCCAGCGAAAGCUGGAUUAAUACCGCAUACGCCCUACGGGGGAAAGCAGCAAUGCGCUAAUAGAUGAGCCCGCGUAAGAUUAGCUAGUUGGUAAGGUAAAGGCUUACCAAGGCGACGAUCUUUAGCUGGUCUGAGAGGAUGGCCAGCCACAUCGGGACUGAGACACGGCCCGGACUCCUACGGGAGGCAGCAGUCGGGAAUAUUGGACAAUGGGCGCAAGCCUGAUCCAGCAAUACCGCGUGUGUGAAGAAGGCCUGCGGGUUGUAAAGCACUUUCAGUUGGGAAGAUAAUGACGUUACCAACAGAAGAAGCACCGGCUAACUCCGUGCCAGCAGCCGCGGUAAUACGGAGGGUGCAAGCGUUAAUCGGAAUUACUGGGCGUAAAGCGUGCGUAGGCGGCCUGUUAAGUCAGAUGUGAAAGCCCCGGGCUUAACCUGGGAACUGCAUCUGAUACUGGGAGGCUAGAAUGUGGGAGAGGAGAGUGGAAUUUCCGGUGUAGCGGUGAAAUGCAUAGAGAUCGGAAGGAACACCAGUGGCGAAGGCGGCUCUCUGGACCAACAUUGACGCUGAUGCACGAAAGCGUGGGUAGCAAACAGGAUUAGAUACCCUGGUAGUCCACGCCGUAAACGAUGUCUACUAGUUGUUGGUGGAGUAAAAUCCAUGAGUAACGCAGCUAACGCAUUAAGUUGACCGCCUGGGGAGUACGGCCGCAAGGUUGAAACUCAAAGGAAUUGACGGGGGCCCGCACAAGCGGUGGAGCAUGUGGUUUAAUUCGAUGCAACGCGAAGAACCUUACCUGGUCUUGACAUGUAGUGAACUUAGCAGAAAUGUUUUGGUGCCUUCGGGAACACUAACACAGGUGCUGCACGGCUGUCGUCAGCUCGUGUCGUGAGAUGUUGGGUUAAGUCCCGCAACGAGCGCAACCCCUGUCCCUAGUUGCCAGCACAUAAUGGUGGGAACUCUAGGGAGACUGCCGGUGACAAACCGGAGGAAGGUGGGAAUGACGUCAAGUCAUCAUGGCCCUUAUGACCAGGGCUACACACGUGCUACAAUGGGCAGUACAGAGGGAAGCAAAAUCGCGAGAUCAAGCAAAUCCCAGAAAGCUGUCCGUAGUCCGGAUCGGAGUCUGCAACUCGACUCCGUGAAGUCGGAAUCGCUAGUAAUCGCGAAUCAGCAUGUCGCGGUGAAUACGUUCCCGGGCCUUGUACACACCGCCCGUCACACCAUGGGAGUUUGUUGCACCAGAAGCAGGUAGUCUAACCGAAAGGAGGGCGCUUGCCACGGUGUGGCCGAUGACUGGGGUGAAGUCGUAACAAGGUAACCAAGC
rnacentral:rRNA from 1 species